UGACGAGUCCCAAACAGGACGAAAUACGUGUC
rnacentral:hammerhead_ribozyme from 1 species